rnacentral:rRNA from 1 species
AGCAUAUCAAUAAGCGGAGGAAAAGAAACCAACAGGGAUUGCCCCAGUAACGGCGAGUGAAGCGGCAACAGCUCAAAUUUGAAAUCUGGCCCCCUCGGGGUCCGAGUUGUAAUUUGAAGAGGGUGCUUCGGGCGCGAUGCCGGUCUAAGUUCCUUGGAACAGGACGUCGUAGAGGGUGAGAAUCCCGUAUGCGACCGGCGAUCAAGCCCGUGCGAAGCCCCUUCGACGAGUCGAGUUGUUUGGGAAUGCAGCUCAAAACGGGUGGUAAAUUUCAUCUAAAGCUAAAUAUUGGCCAGAGACCGAUAGCGGACAAGUAGAGUGAUCGAAAGAUGAAAAGCACUUUGGAAAGAGAGUCAAACAGUACGUGAAAUUGUUGAAAGGGAAGCGCUUGCAAUCAGACCGGUCCGGAGGCGAUCAGCCGCUGCUUGUCAGCGGUGCACUCGCCUGCGAUCCGGCCAGCAUCGGUUUGGGCGGCGGGAUAAAAGUCCCGGGAAUGUAGCUUCUUCCGGGGAGUCUUAUAGCCCGGGUCGCAAUGCCGCCCGCCCGGACCGAGGACCGCGCUUCGGCUAGGAUGCUGGCGUAAUGGUUGCGAGCGACCCGUCUUGAAACACGGACCAAGGAGUCUAACAUCUAUGCGAGUGUUUGGGUGUCAAACCCAGGCGCGGAAUGAAAGUGAACGGAGGUGGGAACCCGUCAGACGGCGCACCAUCGACCGAUCCAGAUGUCUUCGGAUGGAUUUGAGUAUGAGCAUAGCUGUUGGGACCCGAAAGAUGGUGAACUAUGCCCGGAUAGGGUGAAGCCAGAGGAAACUCUGGUGGAGGCUCGCAGCGGUUCUGACGUGCAAAUCGAUCGUCAAAUCUAGGCAUAGGGGCGAAAGACCAAUCGAACCAUCUAGUAGCUGGUUCCUGUCGAAGUUUCCCUCAGGAUAGCAGUAACGUUUUCAGUUUUAUGAGGUAAAGCGAAUGAUUAGAGGCCUUGGGGCUGAAACAGCCUUAACCUAUUCUCAAACUUUAAAUAUGUAAGAAGUCCUUGUUACUUAGUUGAACGUGGACAUUUGAAUGCACCGUUACUAGUGGGCCAUUUUUGGUAAGCAGAACUGGCGAUGCGGGAUGAACCGAACGCGAGGUUAAGGUGCCGGAAUGCACGCUCAUCAGACACCACAAAAAGUGUCAAUUCAUCCAGACAGCCGGACGGUGGCCAUGGAAGUCGGAAUCCGCUAAGGAGUGUGUAACAACUCACCGGCCGAAUGAAUUGGCCUUGAAAAUGGAUGGCGCUCAAGCGUGCUACCCAUACCUCGCCGCCAGGGUAGAAACGAUGCCCU